UGGGGGUGUUGUAACGGACUUUAAGAUCACACCGAAACCAUCUUCAGGCGUGAAAGCAAGGAGAUUUAAUUAUUUGACAUCAAGAUGAACUGCAACGAGGCAAGUCACCUGAAACUGAGGCCCCAAGCAGCACUGACUGCUCCGAGCUCCCGCCUCUGACUGCCUUCCUGGUGCCCUGUCAGCUCCCUGUUCGUGUCUCUAACUUCCCCAGGACUACAGCAUAAGGGAAGGAUAAGGCAUUUCUUAACCCAAAGUGCCAGCGUUCACUUGACCUUUGGAGAAGAUUAUCCAGGUGAACUUACUGGAAUCACAGGAGUCUGUUGAAAGCAGCCUCGGAGGCCAAGGGGAAGGAAGAGAAAUCUUGAGCAGAGGCAGCAUGCCGAGCAGUUCCACGGAGGGGCACAAGCCAAGGGUCUGGGCAGCUUCUGGUGUCUGAGAAAAACUCAGCUGAUGGCCCCCAAGGAAACCAGGACUCACUUCUCCAAGCCUAUGAAACAAAAUGAAUCAAUAACACAGCAAGGAGCCCCUAGAGGUGAAGCCUCUGGAUGAGAACCAGGCUGGCCUUUUCCACCUCUGCUUUGGAAAAACCUAAACUGAGAACAGCUAAGCCUCCAUUGGCCAGAUUUUGACCUACAAUGGCAACUUCUCAAUAAACGGGUCUUGAUUUAA